rnacentral:tRNA from 1 species
AAUAGAAGCCAAGAUUAGAGGCUUUUCACUGUUAAUGAAAUGAUUGAUUAUUCCUAUU